AUUUCUCUGACCCUUUGGACGGGAGCCAACGGAUGACAUCAUCCGUUAAAAACACUGAUUGGCGAGGAUUGCGCGUUGAAGAAAACUGGAGCACAUAGAGUUCUCUUUGGGCUGAAUUAUUCAGCGUAAACCUAAAUCCCUUCGCAGCAAUAUAUUAUUCAACCAAUUAGUCGCAUUGCAUGCUGCUUCUGGAGCAUCUGUACCCUGAGCUAAGCAGACCCAUUUCCAUAUCAACAUCUUUGAAAACCUAUGCUGCGGUUCUCAAGCUAUUUCCAGAAGCGAGACUCCAUAACCAUCAGGACAAAAAAAAAAGUCAUUUUGGUGAAAGAGAAUAAAACGAUUUUCAGGAGAGGGCAAACACUGGGGUUUCUUCUGAAAAGGUUGUAUGGGCAGCAUGAGUGUACUGACCUACUGCAACCAACGAGGAUUUUCAUCAUCGAUUAAUCGCUCGGUCUAUAAAAUAUCAGAAAAAACAAUCACCAAAUUCCUUACAAUUACAAAGUGCUCCAAAUGUGACAUCUUCAAGAGUUGGAGAUAUUCCGUGAACGAGAGACAAAGAAAAUCAGCAACACGGGAUUAUAUUUCCUUGAAAAAUUACGUCAACGAUUAAUCUAUUAUCAGAAUAGUUGCUAAUAAUUUGUUUCAUUCCACUUAUUGUUUCAGCUCGUAUGUAGCAACAGACUAAUGUGAUGUCUAUAAAAAAGGUUUAAAUGUG